GAGGCCUGUCUGUGCUACUUGAUAGCUGGUGAUCCUAGAUUAGCCUCUUUAGCUCUCAGUUUCUCCAACUGUAAAAUGGCACCAAAGUCAGUGGGCACGAUAGACACACUGCUCUCCCUGGAGCCAGAGCCCUGGCCCCUACCUGGGACCCCCUUGGUCAAGGGCAUGACGGUGCUUACCUUUAGGGAUCUGAUUUCCUUCCUCCAGGGACACAGAAGUAGGUUGACAGAGAUGAGCUCCAGGAACUCCAGUGCCUGCACCAGUCUGUGGCAGAUGUGCUGAGCAGGGCGGGGGCGCCCCCAGAGAGUAUGUGGCCCCCACAUCAGGGGCCACAUCCUCAGGGAGACAGAGGGCACCAGCUGAAGAGCUAGCAUUUCUGGAAGAAUUUGGGGAAGAAACCCAGGGAGGACAGUACACAACAACUGGAGGCUGAGCACAUUGGGGAAACCGAGGCUGCCCGGAGGCACUCACCUAGCUGAGGCUUCAAGCCAGAGAUGACCCAGGCACCAGCUGGACCAGCUUUCGGUACAGCCUGGACGGGAGCUGGGGAGAAGCACCCUGCCCUCCCUCUGACCUUCGGCCUCACCCUGGCAGACAGCUGGGCUUCUCAUGCCACUGAGAACAUUGUGGUGAGCAUGCAUCCCUGAGCUCCUCCUGACCACCCAGGACCUCCAGGAUGCUUUCCUGCCCACCCGCCCCGCCCAUGGCAGAGCUCCACCUCACUGAUGUCCCCUGGAUGGUAGUCGCCACCGCAGGGGCGUCCCAGGGGGCGGGGGCGGCCACAGCUCACCGUAGCCGUGCUCGUAUUCUCGGCGGCGACGGCGGCGGCGGCGGCGGUGGCGGCGGCGGCGGUGGUGCCUCUGGAGCCGGGCCUGCCUGUCCCUGCGGAUGCUGCCCACAAUGAUGGUGAUGCAAGAGAGGAUGAUGACCA